rnacentral:rRNA from 1 species
AUACGGAGGGUCCGAGCGUUAUGCGGAAUCAUUGGGUUUAAAGGGUCCGUAGGCGGGAAUCUAAGUCAGUGGUGAAAUCUUGCAGCUCAACUGUAAAAUUGCCAUUGAUACUGGAUUUCUUGAAUUAGUGUGAAGUGGUUAGAAUGUGUAGUGUAGCGGUGAAAUGCAUAGAUACUACACAGAAUACCAAUUGCGAAGGCAGAUCACUAACACUAUAUUGACGCUAAGGGACGAAAGCGUGGGGAGCGAACAGGAUUAGAAACCCUAGUAGUCC